GACGAACGCUGGCGGCGUGCUUAACACAUGCAAGUCGAACGGAAAGGCCCUGCUUGCAGGGUACUCGAGUGGCGAACGGGUGAGUAACACGUGGGUGAUCUGCCCUGCACUUCGGGAUAAGCUUGGGAAACUGGGUCUAAUACCGGAUAGGAGCCAUCUUUAGUGUGGUGGUUGGAAAGUUUUUUCGGUGUAGGAUGAGCUCGCGGCCUAUCAGCUUGUUGGUGGGGUAAUGGCCUACCAAGGCGGCGACGGGUAGCCGGCCUGAGAGGGUGUACGGCCACAUUGGGACUGAGAUACGGCCCAGACUCCUACGGGAGGCAGCAGUGGGGAAUAUUGCACAAUGAGCGCAAGCCUGAUGCAGCGACGCCGCGUGGGGGAUGAAGGCCUUCGGGUUGUAAACUCCUUUCGCUAGGGACGAAGCUUUUUUGUGACGGUACCUAGAUAAGAAGCACCGGCUAACUACGUG
rnacentral:rRNA from 1 species